UACGAAGGGGGCUAGCGUUGCUCGGAAUCACUGGGCGUAAAGGGUGCGUAGGCGGGUCUUUAAGUCAGGGGUGAAAUCCUGGAGCUCAACUCCAGAACUGCCCUUGAUACUGAGGAUCUUGAGUUCGGGAGAGGUGAGUGGAACUGCGAGUGUAGAGGUGAAAUUCGUAGAUAUUCGGAAGAACACCAGUGGCGAAGGCGACACACUGGGCCAUUACUGACGCUGAGGCGCGAAAGCGUGGGGAGCGAACAGG
rnacentral:rRNA from 1 species